rnacentral:lncRNA from 1 species
AGCAAGCCUUGGGUGGACAGAGGAAAGGAUGACGAAGGGUUCAGUCUUUUGUUGCUGUCUCAUCUUGUUUAACCCCAGCAUGCAUCACCCGUGUGAUGAGAGACCCACAAAUGCUACGCUCUACACUUCACCCUGAGGGGCUCCUCAGCAACCAGGACAACUGUGAGAGGCUGAGGGUGUCACUUCAUCUCUGGAAGAGCACACAAAGGUGUGGCCUUGUUGGAGUAGGUGUGUCACUGUGGCUGUGGGCUUUAAGACCCUCAUCCUAGCUUCCUGGAAGUCAGUAUCCUGCUUGCUACACCUUCAGAUGAAGAUGUAGAACUCUCAGCUCAGCCUGCACCAUGCCUGCCUGGAUGUUGCCCUGCUCCCACCUUGAUGAUAAUAGACUGAACCUCUGAACCUGUAAGCCAGCCCCAAUUAAAUGUUGUCCUUAUAAGAG